rnacentral:piRNA from 1 species
UUAAAUGUCUUUCUGCCUACAAGUAAGUAU